GAUGAACGCUAGCUACAGGCUUAACACAUGCAAGUCGAGGGGAAACGAUAUUGGAAGCUUGCUUCCGAUAGGCGUCGACCGGCGCACGGGUGAGUAACGCGUAUCCAACCUGCCCACCACUUGGGGAUAACCUUGCGAAAGUAAGACUAAUACCCAAUGAUAUCCAUAGAAGACAUCUGAAAUGGAUUAAAGAUUUAUCGGUGAUGGAUGGGGAUGCGUCUGAUUAGCUUGUUGGCGGGGUAACGGCCCACCAAGGCGCCGAUCAGUAGGGGUUCUGAGAGGAAGGUCCCCCACAUUGGAACUGAGACACGGUCCAAACUCCUACGGGAGGCAGCAGUGAGGAAUAUUGGUCAAUGGGCGAGAGCCUGAACCAGCCAAGUAGCGUGCAGGAUGACGGCCCUAUGGUUUGUAAACUGCUUUUAUAAGGGAAUAAAGUGGGAGUCGUGACUCCUUUUGCAUGUACCUUAUGAAUAAGGACCGGCUAAUUCCGUGCCAGCCGCCGCAGUAA
rnacentral:rRNA from 1 species